rnacentral:rRNA from 1 species
UACAGAGGGUGCGAGCGUUGAUCGGAAUUACUGGGCGUAAAGCGCGCGUAGGCGGCUUUGCAAGUCGCGUGUGAAAGCCCCCGGCUCAACUGGGGAGGGUCACGCGAUACUGAUCGACUCGAAGGCAGGAGAGGGUAGUGGAAUUCCCGGUGUAGUGGUGAAAUGCGUAGAUAUCGGGAGGAACACCAGUGGCGAAGGCGACUACCUGGCCUGUUCUUGACGCUGAGGCGCGAAAGCUAGGGGAGCAAACGGG